GGAGUUAGCCGGUGCUUCUUCUGUGAGUGAUGUCCUUCCUGCCGGUUAUUGACCCGCAGGCCUUCUUCCUCACUGAAAGUGCUUUACAACCCGAAGGCCUUCUUCACACACGCGGCAUGGCUGGAUCAGGGUUGCCCCCAUUGUCCAAUAUUCCCCACUGCUGCCUCCCGUAGGAGUCUGGGCCGUGUCUCAGUCCCAGUGUGGCUGAUCAUCCUCUCAGACCAGCUACGGAUCGUCGCCUUGGUGAGCCGUUACCUCACCAACCAGCUAAUCCGACAUAGGCUCAUCCGAUAGCGCGAGGCCCGAAGGUCCCCCGCUUUCCCCCGUAGGGCGUAUGCGGUAUUAGCCUGGGUUUCCCCAGGUUAUCCCCCACUACCGGGCAGAUUCCUAUGCAUUACUCACCCGUCCGCCGCUCGCCACCAGGGAGCAAGCUCCCCGUGCUGCCGCUCGACUUGCNUGUGUAGCUCGCCGCCACGCGUCAUCUGAGCCAGAACUACGACCCGUACGA
rnacentral:rRNA from 1 species